CCUACGGGUGGCUGCAGUGGGGAAUCUUAGACAAUGGGCGCAAGCCUGAUCUAGCCAUGCCGCGUGAGUGAUGAAGGCCUUAGGGUCGUAAAGCUCUUUCGCCAGAGAUGAUAAUGACAGUAUCUGGUAAAGAAACCCCGGCUAACUCCGUGCCAGCAGCCGCGGUAAUACGGAGGGGGUUAGCGUUGUUCGGAAUUACUGGGCGUAAAGCGCACGUAGGCGGAUCAGAAAGUUGGGGGUGAAAUCCCAGGGCUCAACCCGGGAACGGCCUCCAAAACUCCUGGUCAUGAGUUCGAGAGAGGUGAGUGGAAUUCCGAGUGUAGAGGUGAAAUUCGUAGAUAUUCGGAGGAACACCAGUGGCGAAGGCGGCUCACUGGCUCGAUACUGACGCUGAGGUGCGAAAGUGUGGGGAGCAAACAGGAUUAGAUACCCGUGUAGUCG
rnacentral:rRNA from 1 species